rnacentral:lncRNA from 1 species
AUCAGAUCGGUCCUCCUCCUCCAGCUCUGAGGUCAUUCAGAGAAAGCUGAGGAUAAAAUGCAGCUACUCCCUCUGGAGCAGGCGGCACACGGUGUUCUUGUGCCUGAUAAAUGUACCAAGAACUUCAUUAUCUGAUGAGGAAGGCUCCCGGGCCGCCCACGCCUGCUGCCAAGCCAGCCGAGGGCGUUGCUGCAGGUGGGAAGCAGCGUGGGACGGCUGGGCCCGCCUCCUUGAGCCAAAGCCCCUAAUGAGGCCAGCUCAGGAAGAUUCCUCUGGACCAGUCUCAGCCUCAGCAGGAGGGACGGACAGGGACUUUGGACAAGACUGAGGCUCUGAGAGGUUGUGGAGGUGUCACCCAGCUGGAUAAGGCAACCCACGAGGGCAGGACUGUCGCUGUCUUGGUGCCACACGCGAGGAAACUGAGGCACAGAGAAAGAAGCUCGCCAAAGCUUUGUGAGCCAGGAGGCAGGAGGAUGGACGACGCACUGGAGGCCUGAUCAGAUGGCGAAAGGGAGGAAGAAACCAGAGCCACUUGUCUCCUUGAUCUCUGGGAUGGAAGCCACCUUCAGGUGAGGGAGAGGUAGCCAAAGGUGACCUUGAUGUGUCCCCGGCAACUCCUUGGUUACAAGAAACAGAAACCACGGGAGAUGAUUAGAGGGACAUGGGAGAGCUGACACAGUUGGAGGAAAACUUAAGACCCAGCCUCUGACUGGGAUGAGAUUCAGAAAGCCCCAAAGACACAGUGAAGGGUCUCUGUAAGACAGCAAGAUGAAUGGGCUGCCACCAUUGUUCCCGGGUUGGUCACCCAGAUGCAAAUCCCAGAACAAAAGCUACAAGCACAGCCUGGUUUAAGUCAUCUCAAUUUAUGGUCAUCGAGAUCUUGCCCACUGAGGGAGGGCGAGUCUGCAAAAUCAAGGGACAGUUAUCAGAGGAAAGAGGACUGGAGGCUGGGAGGCAGAAGCAAGAGACGUCAGGUGAAGAAGACUUCCCACUUUGCAAUGCCUGCAAAGUGACAGAGACAGUAGCAGGCCCCAUACGUGCUGUGCCCGGAGCAUCCUCAACCCCAAUUAGAGAAGUGGGAAUAGGAAACAGGGCACUUUCCCAAGAGAAGGUAGGUUAACUUGGCUCCAUACAUCUUCAAGGAAUUUAAGGUGGCUUUCCAAAAGGUUUCUUUAUUUUCUAAAUUUUCAUUUUGAUAUAAUUUCAAAUUUACAGAAGAGUUGCAAGAAUAGUCCGAGGAGAUCCAUAAACCCUUUACCCAGAUAUACUAAUUGUUUACAUUUUGGUCCAUAUUUGCCUUAUCAUUCUCUCUGUCUCUCUGCAUAUAUGUGUGUAUAUCUAUAUCUGAUGUGUGUGUGAUUGAACAUAUAUAUAACUCUCAAAACCAGGAAAUUCAAUGUUGAACGAUACUAUUACCUAAUACACAGCCUAUAUUCAAAUUUCUUCAAUCGUCCCAAUAAUGUCCCCAAUAGCUACUUUAUUUCUUGGUCCAGGAUCUAGCCUGGCUUCAUGCAUUGCAUUAAGUUGUUGGGCCUCUUUAGUCGUUGUGACAGGUUUAAAACAUGGCCUCAUGGGACCGGCCCUGUGGCCAAGUGGUUAAGUUCAUGCACUCUGCUUUGGUGGCCCAGGGUUUCUCCAGUUGAGAUCCUGGCCACAGACCUGGAACACACUCAUCAGGCCAUGCUGAGGUGGCGUCCCACAUAGCACAGACAGAACGACCUAUAACUAGAAUGUGCAACUAUGUCCUGGGGGACUUUGGGGAGAAGAGGAAAAAAAUUUUAAAAAGAAAAUUAAAAAGAAAAAAAGAGGAGAUUGGCAACAGAUGUUAGCUCAGGUGCCAAUCUUUAAAAAAAAAAGAAAAUGGGCUCAGGCCAGGGUUCAGUUCCCAGCACGGACCUACACCACUUGUCUGUGGCCAUGCUGUGGCAGCAACCCAUAUACAAAAUAGAGGAAGACUGGCACAGAUGUUAGCUCAGGGCCAAUCUUCCUCAGUGGUGAAAAAAAAGGCCUCAGAUUCUCACACACUCCUCCAUUUGAGAGGUGGGUCUGAGUCCCCUCAAUCUAGGCAGGCUUGUGAGGGCUCUGACCAACAGUGCAAGUGACACUGCAUCAUUUCCGAGGCUACGUGAGAAAAUGACAUGCUGCCUCCUCCUGGCUUCCCGGAAGACUUGCUCCUGGAAUCCUGAGCUACCCUGCAUCUGUCCUGACUUUUGGAAGCCCCAGACACAGGAGAGGCCACACACAGACAUUCAGGUUGACCAUCCCAGCGGAGCCCAGACUUUGAGUCAGCCUGGCCAAGGCGUCAGGCAUGUGGGUGAAGAACAUUCCAUGUGAUUCCUGUCUUCCAUUCAAGUCACCCCCAGCCACCUGAGUCUUCCAGCUGAGAUCCCAAACUGUGGAGCAGAGACAAACCAUCCCUGCUGUGCUUUCUCUGAAUUCCUGACCUACAGAAGCCAAGAACGCAAUGAAAUAUUUUUAUAUCACUGAAUUUAGGGUGGUUGGUUAUACAGCAAUAGAAAACUGGACUAGUCUCCUUAAUCUGGACCAGAUUUUGUCUUUCCUUCUUUGUCUUUCUUGACCUUGGCAUUUUUGAAGGAAAUAGGCCAAUUAUUUUACAGAAUGUCCCUCAAUUUGGGUUUGUCUGAUGUUUCCUCAUGCUUAGUUCCAGGUUGUGCAUUUCUGGUGGGAAUACCACAGGUGUGAUGCUGUGUUCUUCUCAGUGCAUCCUAUCAGGAGGCACAGGACAUGGGUUUGUCCCAAUGUUGAUGAUGUUAACUUUGAUCGCUUGGUUAAGGUGGUGUCCACCAGGUUCUUCACUGUAAAAUUACUGUUCCCUUUGUAAUUAAUAAGUAAUUGAUACUUUGAGACUAUGUAAACAUCUUGUUCCUCAUCAAACUUGCACCUACUUGUUUUAGCACCCAUUGAUGAUUUUCUAACUUUCUCACUUCUUUUAUAUUUAGUAAUUCAUGUUUCACUAUAGGCAAGACUGUUCCCCUUUCCUUGAUUUAAUUAUUUAUUCACUCAUUUAUUUGUAUCACUAAGGAUGCAUGGAUUUUAAUUUUAUUCAAGGGUUAUAUCCAUUAAUGUCACUACUUAAUUUGAUACUCAUUUUACCCCGGAUUUGGCCAGUGGGAGCCCAUGAACGGGACUGGUUUCCAUGUCCUUUUGAUAUGCCGCCAUGUUUUGGAGUAUUCCUUACUUUCUGAUUCAACAAGAUGGUCCCGGCUCAUCUUAUGCUUUCCUGGCCCAGUCCUGGAAACAGCCUAUCUGUGAGGAGACUUGAUUCCUUUUGAAAGAGAAUGGUAUUUAGAACCAAGAUCUGGGUGCUAAGUAAGCAAGCACAUUGUUAGUGGUGUUCGCUGCUUGUAGGUCCUCUCAGUGGACAGAGCUAGGAAGAUACACACAUGCCUGCACACUCCUCUGUAUUUAUUUCUAGGUCUACAACUAUACCCACAUCCUAUGUCUAUAUAAAGAUGAGAUAAAGAUCUUAUAAACCAUGAGUUCAUACCGACGCCUCCUAUCCAAGGCAACGCCACAAAGCUACAUUCUCGCUUUCACUCUUCCCAUAUUUUUAACUUCCUUCUCCAACAGUGAGAAACCUGGUUCCCAUUAACAUUAAGACAUUUUCUUGUUUGCUCAAGCCCGUAGGAAACAGAAAGCGGUUUCAGACUUGUUAAUCCAUACCACUGAAAAAAGCAAACCUACUAACUAGGGUCAAUGCCUGUUUGUAGUUUUUCUACAGUGAAAUUUAUAUACAAUGAAAUGAACAAAGCUGAAGUGUGCAAAUCAAUGAGUUUUGACAAAUGUGUAUACCCAUGGAAGCCACACCCCUACCAAGAUAUAUCGAACAUUUGUAUCACUCCAGAAAAUUCCCAUGUGCCCAUUCCUGAUCAAGCCCUCACCCAGAGGCAAACACAGAUCUGAUUUCUAUCACUAUAGAUUAGUUGUCUGCACUGGAACUUCACAUAAGUGGCAUCCUACACACAUGCAUGUACUCUUUUGUGUCUGGCUUCUUUUCCUAAGCACAAUGUCAGUAAAAGUCAUUAUGUCAUUGCAGGUGUCACAGGUUUAUUCCUUUUUAUUGUGUCAUGGAAGUAAAUUACAUGAGUAUUCCAAAAUUCACUUAUCCACUUUCUUUCUGAUGGACACUAGUGUUGCUUCCAGUUUUUAGCUCCAGUAUUUUGCUAUGAACGUUCUUGUACACAUAUUUUUGUAGACAUAUGUUUUUGCUAAAUAUCUAGGGGUAGGAUUUCUGGGUGACAGUUUAGAUAUCUGCUUAACUUUAUAAGAAAGUGACAAACCUUUUUCCAAAUUGGUUACCAUUUUACACACUCCCACCAGCAACGUAUGAGAGUUCAAGUUGCUCUAUAUCCUCGCCAACACUCGCUGUUGUAAGUCUCCUUAAUUUUAGCCAUUCUCAUGGCUGAAGCGGUAUCUCAUUAUGGUUUUAAUUUCAUUGCCCUGAGGAGUAAUAAUGUCGAGCAUCUUUUCAUGCAUUUAUUGACCAGUUGAAUAUAUUCCUUUAUGAAGGAUUUGGCAAGUCUUUUGCCCAUUUUUUAAUUGGGCUUUUUAUUAUUAUUAUUAACUUGCAAGAAUCCCUUAUAUAUCCUCACUACAGGCCCUUUGUCAGAUAUAUGUUCUGCAGCUACUUUUCCCCAGUCUGUGGCUCGUCUAUUCUGAGGUUUGCUUUGGUGAGCAGAAGUUCUCGAUUUUUGUGAAGUCUAAUUCAUUGAUUAUUUAUUUUAUGGCUGUUUUCUGUACUGUACCAAAGAAAUCUUUGCCUACCCUUAGAUCAAAAAGAUAUCCACCCUACAUUUUCCAUUUAAAACUUUAUAGUUUUUGCUUUUGUAUUUUUGUUUAUGACCCAUCUUGAAUUAACUUCUGUGCAUGGUGAAGUAAUGAUUGAGUUCAUUUUUUCCCAGUGGUUUCCAGUUGUUCCAGCACCAUUUGCUAGAAAGUCUAUCCUGUCCCCCUUUGAAUUGCUUUGAUGACUUCGUCAAUAAUCAAUUGUCCGUCUAAGCAGGGGUCUCUUCCUGAACUCUCUAUUCUGUUCCAUUAAUCUGUUUGUCUCUUCUAAUGUCAAUAUCACACUGUUGAUAACCAUAGCUUUACAGCAAAUCUUGAUGUUAGGUAGUGUAAGCCCUCC